rnacentral:lncRNA from 1 species
UCGGAAACAAAAACGUGAGAGAGAGAGACUUGUUUUUAGAUCUGCCACGCACCUUUUUCCAAGAAGCUGCGGAGGGUUUUGUUGCUGCGCCUGAGGUCCGACGCCUGAUUUUGGUGGAAGAGCUGGCCGGCGGUGGUGGAAAAGCUUGAGGAAGGAGAGGAUGCGGCUGUGAUUUCUGAGAAAGAGAGAUGAUUUUUUAUUUUUAUUUUUUAUAUUUCUUUUUUAAUAAAAAUGACAUGUGUAUUUCCAUAUCAAUUAAAUUGCCACGCGUAUUGCCACCUACAAUAAAAAAGCCACGCGUAUAGUCCACGUCAUUGUCGGUCAACUUUAAUUAUGGUCGGAGUUCUCACCGUGUGCAAAUUGCAAC